rnacentral:tRNA from 1 species
GGAGAGGUCGCAUAGUGGCCUAGUGCAGCGGUUUACUAAACCGCCGUCCGGGAAACCGGGCCGUGGGUUCAAAUCCCACCCUCUCCG